rnacentral:rRNA from 1 species
UCAAAGGAAUUGACGGGGACCCGCACAAGCGGUGGAUGAUGUGGUUUAAUUCGAUGCAACGCGAAAAACCUUACCUACCUUUGACAUGUACGGAAUUCGCCAGAGAUGGCUUAGUGCUCGAAAGAGAGCCGUAACACAGGUGCUGCAUGGCUGUCGUCAGCUCGUGUCGUGAGAUGUUGGGUUAAGUCCCGCAACGAGCGCAACCCUUGUCAUUAGUUGCUACAUUCAGUUGGGCACUCUAAUGAGACUGCCGGUGACAAACCGGAGGAAGGUGGGGAUGACGUCAAGUCCUCAUGGCCCUUAUAGGUAGGGCUACACACGUCAUACAAUGGAUGGUACAAAGGGUCGCCAACCCGCGAGGGGGAGCCAAUCCCAUAAAACCAUUCGUAGUCCGGAUCGCAGUCUGCAACUCGACUGCGUGAAGUCGGAAUCGCUAGUAAUCGUGGAUCAGAAUGUCACGGUGAAUACGUUCCCGGGUCUUGUACACACCGCCCGUCACACCAUGGGAGCGGGUUCUGCCAGAAGUAGUUAGCCUAACCCGCAAGGGAGGGCGAUUACCACGGCAGGGUUCGUGACUGGGGUGAAGUCGUAACAAGGUAACC